rnacentral:tmRNA from 1 species
GGGGAUGUAUUUGGUUUCGACAGUAAUUUAGAAGUAUAAAUAGCGAGUGGUGGAUGUUCGCUUCGGCCACCUAAAAAAAGCGAAAAUAAAAAUAAACGCUAACGAUAGAGAAUUAGCAUACGCUGCCUAGGCGGCGUCGUCUUAGUUUAGAGGCCCACGGCUUUACUAAGGCGCCAAUAAGUGGGAAACAAAACUAUUUCUUGCUUUUGGAAAUAGUGGGUAUAAAAAAAGCUACUAAGACUUGGUUUUGUUAAUUAAUCCAAUCUCUUGGGAACAUUUAAAUAAUUAACUGCACUCGGAGAAGUUUAUAUGGAAGAAUUCCUGGACAGGGGUUCAACUCCCCUCAUCUCCACCA